UGUAUGCGUGGAUCCGUGUGUGUCUGCAAGGCGCCGGCUCUCGGGCCGUGUUUGUGCCUGGAGCAGAGAAACUGCGCAGGACGCAGCAAGCCCUCAGGCUUGAUGGAGCUGGGCGGCCGUUAUCCCUCUGCGGGCCAUAGAAUCUUCUCUCCCACCCCACAUUUAAGACCAAUUAAGGCUACAAACAGUAAACUGCUGGCACUUUGCGGUUUUGAGACCUCUUGUUCCAAUUUUCCUUGAAAUACAUACUUUGGCGAGAGGAAUAGGGAAUGUGAUCAAGAUACUUGGAGAUGACUAAAUGACGAAGUCAGAAUCUUUAACCUAUCCUGGUCAAACUCCAGACUCAGAGUGAUCUAUGUUGGUCAUGUAAAAACUGCCCAAUAAUUUGUCAUCUGUGCAGGGUUCUUUACCCAUUAUGGGUUAUGGGGCAGGUGGAAUAUAAAUGACCUUUGGAGCAUUUGCAAAUCCCCUGAAACUGUUUGAAAUUCUGUGAUCAUAUUAAUGUGCACUUUCUGCAGAGGGAGUCCAUACAUUUCAUCAGAUUCUCAAGGGGAUCUUCCUCAAAUGGGGUAAGAAUUACUGAUAUCAAGUUAUCAGUAGCAUUAAUGAUGCAUUAAUUCCUGAUAAGAAAUUAGUUUUUUUUUUCUGUAACGUUUAUAAAACUAAAUGUGACUUGAGUAGACAUUUC